UACGUAGGUGACAAGCGUUGUCCGGAUUUAUUGGGUUUAAAGGGUGCGUAGGCGGCUUUGUAAGUCAGUGGUGAAAUAUGGCAGCUCAACUGUCAAGGUGCCAUUGAUACUGCGGAGCUUGAGUACAGAUGAGGUAGGCGGAAUUGACGGUGUAGCGGUGAAAUGCUUAGAUAUCGUCAAGAACACCUAUAGCGAAGGCAGCUUACUAGGCUGUAACUGACGCUGAGGCACGAAAGUGUGGGGAUCAAACAGG
rnacentral:rRNA from 1 species